UUCCGUUGAUUAUUCGAGCGUUAAGCCUUGCUAUUUUGGGCAAACGCGUAUAUAGUUACCAUUAAUGUAUUUAUGACUUCGAAAUUUGGUACGGCGUUCUUCAUAGAAUGACUCCAAGUAUUCAAAAGUUUCAUCAAAUGCAAAAUUUAAAAUUGCGCACAGCGCACGGAGGUUUCAUUCUAUGGAACAAGGUACAGUUAAAUGGUUUAAUGGCGACAAAGGUUAUGGCUUCAUCACUCUCGACAACGGCUCAGACGUAUUCGUUCACUUCUCAGCUAUCAACAUCGACGGCUUCAAGACUCUUGAAGAAGGUCAAAAAGUUACCCUUGAUGUUGAAAAGGGCGACCGUGGUUUGCAAGCAGCUAACGUAACACCUGCUUAAGUAGCCAGUUAGAAAAUAAGGGCUCCCGGUGAGGGGCCUUUUUCUU
rnacentral:sRNA from 1 species